GAACUUAAGCAUAUCAAUAAGCGGAGGAAAAGAAACUAACAAGGAUUCCCCUAGUAACUGCGAGUGAAGCGGGAAAAGCUCAAAUUUAAAAUCUGGCGUGCCUCUGGUCGUCCGAGUUGUAGUUUAGAGAAGCGUUUUCUGUGUUGGACCGUGUAUAAGUCUCUUGGAACAGGGCGUCAUAGAGGGUGAGAAUCCCGUCUUUGACACGGACUACCAAUGCUUUGUGAUACGCUCUCAAAGAGUCGAGUUGUUUGGGAAUGCAGCUCAAAAUGGGUGGUAAAUUCCAUCUAAAGCUAAAUAUAGGCGAGAGACCGAUAGCGAACAAGUACCGUGAGGGAAAGAUGAAAAGCACUUUGGAAAGAGAGUUAAACAGUACGUGAAAUUGCUGAAAGGGAAACGCUUGAAGUCAGUCACGUCUGCCAGGACUCAGCCUUGCUUCUGCUUGGUGUAUUUUCUGGUUGGAUGGGCCAACAUCGAUUUCGACCGUUGGAGAAAGGCUUUGGGAAUGUGGCACCUUCGGGUGUGUUAUAGCCCUUUGUCGUAUACAAUGGUUGGGAUCGAGGACUGCAGCAUGCCUUCAUGGCCGGGGUUCGCCCACGUACAUGCUUAGGAUGUUGGCAUAAUGGCUUUAAGCGACCCGUCUUGAAACACGGACCAAGGAGUCUAACAUGCCUGCGAGUGUUUGGGUGGAAAACCCAUGCGCGUAAUGAAAGUGAUAGCUGAGAUCCUCUCAUCAGGAGCAUCAGCGCCUGGACUUGAUCUACGGAGACGGUUCUACGGUAGAGCAUGUAUGUUGGGACCCGAAA
rnacentral:rRNA from 1 species